GGGUUGUGAGGUUAAGCGACUAAGCGUACACGGUGGAUGCCCUGGCAGUCAGAGGCGAUGAAGGACGUGCUAAUCUGCGAUAAGCGUCGGUAAGGUGAUAUGAACCGUUAUAACCGGCGAUUUCCGAAUGGGGAAACCCAGUGCAAUUCGUUGCACUAUCGUUAAGUGAAUACAUAGCUUAACGAAGCGAACCGGGGGAACUGAAACAUCUAAGUACCCCGAGGAAAAGAAAUCAACCGAGAUUCCCCCAGUAGCGGCGAGCGAACGGGGAGCAGCCCAGAGUCUGAAUCAGCAUGUGUGUUAGUGGAAGCGUCUGGAAAGUCGCACGAUACAGGGUGAAAGUCCCGUACACCAAAAUGCACAUGUUGUGAACUCGAAGAGUAGGGCGGGACACGUGGUAUCCUGUCUGAAUAUGGGGGGACCAUCCUCCAAGGCUAAAUACUCCUGACUGACCGAUAGUGAACCAGUACCGUGAGGGAAAGGCGAAAAGAACCCCGGCGAGGGGAGUGAAAAAGAACCUGAAACCGUGUACGUACAAGCAGUGGGAGCCUCUUUAUGGGGUGACUGCGUACCUUUUGUAUAAUGGGUCAGCGACUUAUAUUCUGUAGCAAGGUUAACCGAAUAGGGGAGCCGAAGGGAAACCGAGUCUUAACUGGGCGUUAAGUUGCAGGGUAUAGACCCGAAACCCGGUGAUCUAGCCAUGGGCAGGUUGAAGGUUGGGUAACACUAACUGGAGGACCGAACCGACUAAUGUUGAAAAAUUAGCGGAUGACCUGUGGCUGGGGGUGAAAGGCCAAUCAAACCGGGAGAUAGCUGGUUCUCCCCGAAAGCUAUUUAGGUAGCGCCUCGUGAAUUCAUCUUCGGGGGUAGAGCACUGUUUCGGCUAGGGGGUCAUCCCGACUUACCAACCCGAUGCAAACUACGAAUACCGAAGAAUGUUAUCACGGGAGACACACGGCGGGUGCUAACGUCCGUCGUGAAGAGGGAAACAACCCAGACCGCCAGCUAAGGUCCCAAAGUCACAGUUAAGUGGGAAACGAUGUGGGAAGGCUCAGACAGCCAGGAUGUUGGCUUAGAAGCAGCCAUCAUUUAAAGAAAGCGUAAUAGCUCACUGGUCGAGUCGGCCUGCGCGGAAGAUGUAACGGGGCUAAACUGUGCACCGAAGCUGCGGCAGCGACACUAUGUGUUGUUGGGUAGGGGAGCGUUCUGUAAGCCGUUGAAGGUGUGUCGUGAGGCAUGCUGGAGGUAUCAGAAGUGCGAAUGCUGACAUAAGUAACGAUAAAGCGGGUGAAAAACCCGCUCGCCGGAAGACCAAGGGUUCCUGUCCAACGUUAAUCGGGGCAGGGUGAGUCGACCCCUAAGGCGAGGCCGAAAGGCGUAGUCGAUGGGAAACAGGUUAAUAUUCCUGUACUUGGUGUUACUGCGAAGGGGGGACGGAGAAGGCUAUGUUGGCCGGGCGACGGUUGUCCCGGUUUAAGCGUGUAGGUUUGCAGACCAGGUAAAUCCGGUCUGCUUCAAGACUGAGACGUGAUGACGAGGCACUACGGUGCUGAAGUAACAAAUGCCCUGCUUCCAGGAAAAGCCUCUAAGCAUCAGGUAACACGAAAUCGUACCCCAAACCGACACAGGUGGUCAGGUAGAGAAUACCAAGGCGCUUGAGAGAACUCGGGUGAAGGAACUAGGCAAAAUGGUGCCGUAACUUCGGGAGAAGGCACGCUGAUACGUAGGUGAAGCGGUUUACCCGUGGAGCUGAAAUCAGUCGAAGAUACCAGCUGGCUGCAACUGUUUAUUAAAAACACAGCACUGUGCAAACACGAAAGUGGACGUAUACGGUGUGACGCCUGCCCGGUGCCGGAAGGUUAAUUGAUGGGGUCAGCGCA
rnacentral:rRNA from 1 species